UUUUUUUUUUCUUUUAAAUUUGGCAGAUAGCCCAGCUAAUGAAAAAUAGUCACAUUCCUGAGAAGUUGGAGCUAAAACUCCAAAUUAUUGUUGAAAUACUUGUUUCUACUGUAUGUAGAAAUGUAUUUUUAAGAAAAUCAAAGAGGAAAAAAAAAUCUAUGCAGAGACCCUACUACUUUGUGGUUUCUAUUGUCCCUACACAUCAUUUCAGCAUGUCUAUAAUGGCAGUUCUUGUCAGCAAGUCCUUCAGUGCAUAUGCUGCACAAAACAAAACAUAAAUCUGCACGGCACCAAAAACCAAACAAAAGCAAACCAAAAACCCAGACACCCUAUGUAUCUGUUGGAGGCAUGUAGGUGGUACAAAUGACUGUAGCCAUGAGCACACAUGGCUUCUUGUCAUGUCACUUUCCAUAAUUAUUUACUGCAAAAUGAUUGAGAGGCUUUUGGUGCAGGCAGCCAUUAGCCUCCUGCUUCCUUUGUUACCCCUGGAUCACUUUGCAGUAAAUUGCAGGUCUUUUAAAAGAUUCAAGCUUCGGUUUUCUCAAAACAAAACAAUUAUCCUGUCUUACCUGAAAAUGCAGGGUUGUGGGCAAAAGAGGCUGGUUAUAAUAAUGCCCUCAUAUUGAGUGGUCUGUAAAUGGCUGCACACUUCAGGCACUAGAGUUGCUGAGGAUGCUUUGUUAAUGUGACCUUGACUGGCUUUACAGGCGUGUAGAACAGUCUACACGGGCGACUAUUUGCAUCCAUCUUGUUGUUGAGGUGGAUGAAAAUAAGGAAAGACUGGAGUGUGUAAGUCAUGCACAUAAGUAUUCACUGUAAAUUUUAUUUUCAUUUUUAACCCAAUUAUGGUACUUUGUCCAAUGCACAACUGAUCUCUCAGUAGAUAUUCAUUUGAAAAUAGUGUGGCCUUGCUCAGUGAGAAGGGGAAGAAGUGACUUAGACUUGUGUUAAGAUGACCUGUUGGCUGAGAGUGGUCGUUCUGCAGCACUCUUAAUGGCAAGUUUUGAUUAGGGAGAGUUAAUGUUUUUGACCCUGAAUUGAGUUUUCUUCUAUUUUUAGGAAGUAUCAGAAUUGCUCUGAUGAGUAACGAAGUUGACUGCUUUGAUGUCCAAUCUCAGGUUUUAAAAGAUAGUGGUAUAAAAGCCCACUGUUACUAAUUCUUAAGACAGUUUUGAUUUAGUAUCCCCUAAAAGUCACAUGCAUAAUAAGGCCUGUUCAAAGAGCAGAGCCUCCAUCUUUUUGCUCCUUUUCCAUGUUGUACUUCACUUGAAGAGGUGUCAAGUGACUUUGCAUUGUAUAUUUCCAUUUUAACCCUGACAUAGUUCUCAAAGAUAAAGCACUUUUUGAACAUGAAAUACAUGGAUAAUGUGUGAUGUGGAUCAUGGUUUCUCAGGCCCCUAGAUAAUCCACUUCUGAGUAUUGUUCUAUGUAAGGAGAGUGGAGAUCUUUGCUAAUGUUAGAAAGUUUGUAUUCUUGGUUAGAAUGCACUUGCUAGUUUCCAAUGGAUGGGAGAGUACACGAUGCUGCACUCACAGUUUAAUGAGUUGCUUUCCCUCAGCCUUAAGGGAACUUUUCUUUUCUGUCCACAACAGCACUGAAGUUUUAGUAAGUGAAUGAGAUUAUCUGUUUUCAGGGUUGGUUUUAGAGUACUGUAAAUUAAUUAGCUGUCUUCCUAAAGAGUCGUAACUCCCUUCAAUAGACUGAAUGGUGGGUGUGGGAGGGGGGAUAGGGAAGGGAGAGAGGUAGUUUGUAGAAAAGAAAAAAGAAAAAAAGAGCUACAUUUACCUU
rnacentral:lncRNA from 1 species